UACGUAGGAUGCAAGCGUUGUCCGGAUUUACUGGGUGUAAAGGGUGCGCAGGCGGCUUAGUAAGUCAGAGGUGAAAGCCCGCAGCUCAACUGCGGAAAUGCCUUUGAUACUGCCUAGCUUGAAUAUGAUAGAGGCUCAUGGAAUAUGUGGUGUAGCGGUGAAAUGCGUAGAUAUCACAUAGAACACCAGUGGCGAAGGCGGUGAGCUGGGUCAUUAUUGACGCUCAUGCACGAAAGUGUGGGUAGCAAACAGG
rnacentral:rRNA from 1 species